rnacentral:tRNA from 2 species
GGGAGUAUAGUUAAAAAUAACAUUUAAUUUGCAAUUAAAAGGAACUUAUAAAGUUGCUCUCA